rnacentral:rRNA from 1 species
UGGGGAAUAUUGCACAAUGGGCGCAAGCCUGAUGCAGCCAUGCCGCGUGUAUGAAGAAGGCCUUCGGGUUGUAAAGUACUUUCAGCGAGGAGGAAGGCAUUAAGGUUAAUAACCUUAGUGAUUGACGUUACUCGCAGAAGAAGCACCGGCUAACUCCGUGCCAAGCAGCCGCGGUAAUACGGAGGGUGCAAGCGUUAAAUCGGAAUUACUGGGCGUAAAAGCGCACGCAGGCGGUCUGUCAAGUCGGAUGUGAAAUCCCCCGGGCUCAACCUGGGAACUGCAUUCGAAACUGGCAGGCUAGAGUCUUGUAGAGGG